UGGGGAAUUUUGGACAAUGGGGGAAACCCUGAUCCAGCCAUCCCGCGUGUGCGAUGAAGGCCUUCGGGUUGUAAAGCACUUUUGGCAGGAAAGAAACGUCAUGGGUUAAUACCCCGUGAAACUGACGGUACCUGCAGAAUAAGCACCGGCUAACUACGUGCCAGCAGCCGCGGUAAUACGUAGGGUGCAAGCGUUAAUCGGAAUUACUGGGCGUAAAGCGUGCGCAGGCGGUUCGGAAAGAAAGAUGUGAAAUCCCAGAGCUCAACUUUGGAACUGCAUUUUUAACUACCGGGCUAGAGUGUGUCAGAGGGGGGUGGAAUUCCGCGUGUAGCAGUGAAAUGCGUAGAUAUGCGGAGGAACACCGAUGGCGAAGGCAGCCUACUGGGAUAACACUGACGCUCAUGCACGAAAGCGUGGGGAGCAAACAGG
rnacentral:rRNA from 1 species